rnacentral:RNase_MRP_RNA from 1 species
ACCGCAUCUCGGCACUCUGCUUCACUGCCUGUCCACGAGCUGGUGUUCUGCGGUCUUCCGAUGACACUCUCUGCCACUUCGCACGGGGACUUUCCCCACAACGUCGUUGGGAGCAUGCUCCCUGUGUGCGCGCUGCGAAGCCGUGUUUUCCCUGCUCCCUGAUAUGUGCAACGCACAUUCGAUCCUCAACUCAAUUCCAAUCGAACAUCGGAAAAAUGAUGUCCGAA